rnacentral:piRNA from 1 species
UGAAAUAACGGCCGUGACAAUAUACAG